UUAGCUUUAUGCCAUUCAAAAAUCUAUCUUAGAAAUAAAUCUGAUGGAAACAGAUUAUCUCUCCUUCACAUGCAACAGAUGCUCAGUUGGCAUGAAUUGCAUUGAGGAGGGAGCAUUCCUAUCGAGUGCUGUAUGGAGUGGACCUGGGGUCCCUUCACAGGUCAUCCUAAGAGCCACAUCACUAUCCAUGGUCUAAGUGCCCUAGUCAGUCACUGAAAGAUGAGGGCAAAUGAGCUGUGGUGUUUCCGAGUCCAGGCUCCAGUGGAUUAAAUCCCUGUGCCCUGCAGGCAACUUGGGACUCCAUCCAUUUUAGGCAGUACAGCAUUACUAAUAACAAGAACAGCACGGAAAAUAUGAGACCCAGGCAGCAGUGGCAGGGAGAAUGAGAUGCAGAGCUGUGCAUGCUGGGAAGUGCUGGCCUUAAUUAGAAUGUGCAUGUACAGUAUUUAUCUUUCUCCCAAACCUAUAAAUAAGGCCAGCGCUAUGGCGAUUACUGAUGUCUGCCGUCAUUUCACAAGGCCUCUGUUUUGAUGGAGCACCAGUUGCUGCAAAAUAAUAUUUCUUUCCUUUCCAGUCUGCAUCUGCUCCUGUAUGGAAACCUCUCAAAGGCUUUCAGAGCUGUGACUGGACAGGAGAGAAGGGGUGGACAUCAUCUUCUGGGAAUUCAAGAGUUUUGAGAAAGAGUCUGAUGUGUACUUCAGGAGUCACCUAGAACAGUGUUGUUCAUCUUUCAUAAAGGAGAAUAAAUAUAUCUGCCCUUGAAGGACUCUCAUCUGAGAAGUGAAAAUUCAUAAAACUUAAAUGGUCCAUAGGAGGGUGAUUUAAAUUUUAUCACACGUGGGCAUCCCCUGACCCCACUGAAAAGUUAAAUGAAAACUACUAUUGUUUGCUGCUUAGUUUCCCUCUGACCAAAACUAGAGAGUAAACUCCUUAAGAGUAAAAGUUGGUUUUAUGGGUUUUUUGUUUAAUAUCAGUAUUUCGCAGUACAUGUACAUAGUAGAACUUCAAUAAGUAAUUAAUUAUAAUUAAAUCUAUUCAUUUCAUGGGGUAGGAAGGUAUUCCUCUUAAUUACCUCACUUCCAGAGGUUCAUGUUUUCUCAAAAUAAAUACUUCUGCCCUCUAGCCUGUUCUCCACAUGUGAGGUUAAGGAAAAAUAAAAGGCAAUGCAUGAAAUAUACUCACCCAUGAGGUCAUCUUCAAUGAAUGUUUAUUCAUAAGGGAACCACCCUGUUCUAAGAACCAAACCAUCUCUCCGCUUCCUGUGCCUGAGGAGACAUCAUCAACUCUUUCUUGGAAGAUAUUUCCUGUCCAGUGAGACUAGGACAAUCUAUGUGCUAUCACCAUUCCCCUUCCUUCAAAGAGAAAAUAAAUAAAUACCUACCAACCCACAACACACUGCUAGCCCCAA
rnacentral:lncRNA from 1 species